rnacentral:tRNA from 1 species
GUAAGCGCACUGGAAAGUGUGCUUGGACUAACAAAAAGUAGCUUAAAAUCAAAGCAUUCAACUUACAAUUG